AUGUCGCAAGAACUGGAGCGUGCGGCAGUGACGGCCAUGGCGCCCGAUGAGGUUCCGACGCCCUUGGCCACCCCUGUUCUUCCGCUGGCCAAAAGGAUGAAGGAAGAUCCGGCGGUUCCGGCCAUGGCGACUGAAGACUGUUCCAGGUGGUCCACGCUCCCACCGGAACUCCUCCGCCUCAUCGCUGAAUCCUUACUCGGCACCAACGACGUCGACUGCUACGUGGACUUCCGCGCCGUUUGCCCCAGCUGGCGUGCUGCCACCGACGAUCCAAAGGACAACACCUCUGACCGCCGCUUCCAUCCGCGGCGGUGGAUCGUCCUCGACCAGGUCUUCCAGAGCGAGGGGGAUUUUUUCCUGCUGAACACCGACACCGGCCGCUUCGUCCACAGGAAGCUCCCGCUGCUCAGCGAACACUACGUGGUGGCGACCACUUACAGCGGCUACGUCGUCCUGGCGGACAAAAGCCCUCCUCACGUGGCCAGCGUCCUCAACCCUCUCACCGGUGUCGUCGUCCGCUUUGCGAUGACCGUGCCCCCCGACGUGGGGGUUGCCCAUGUCGUCCUCUCCGGUGGCGGAUCUCUGCGCACGCUCAUAUUGGUCGGCAACUCGUCUCGCACACAUUACAUGGCUGGUCCCGACAACCAGGAUUUCACCACCGUCCAUAUGGCCUCGCCAGAUUAUGAUCUCCUAUUCAAGGCGGCCGUAGGUGGUGGCGUCUACACGUACCUCAAUCCAUACCUAGAUGGUGAGCACUACACGUACCUCAAUCCAUACGUAGAGGGUGUGCUCACUGUUAUCUACAACUUCUUGGGGACCUAUCGUUUUGAUCCUCUCAAGUUUUUCUCCGGCCAUGGCAACUACGACCGGGGCUUCCUAGUUGGUCUGGCUGGACACAUGCUGCUCAUCUUCAAGCCAAGCGGAAUCCACUAUCCCUGUGUUCUCAGAUUCGAUAAUGCGACACACCAACUUAUGCUUGUGCAGAGAAUCGGCAAAUAUGCCAUCUUCGUUGGCCAUCAGAGGUGUCUAGCUGUGGAUUCUGACAAGUUCCCAGGCGUCGAGGAGAACUGCGUCUAUUACACUCAACAUCUGGGUUCAUCCGCUUUCAUAUACAAAUGCAACAUCGCGGACAAGAAAGUGGAGAGGAUCUUUGAAUCAGACGAUUUCGUAAGGCAGGACAAGCAGUUUGUCCUGGUGGCCGACCGUCCUUUCACCAUCAUCCACAUUCUCUCCAGCUACACUAUCAACAUCCCGGAUUCUCAACUCGCCUCGCAACAGAUGCCAUAA
rnacentral:rRNA from 1 species